rnacentral:rRNA from 1 species
UGCAGUCGACGAUGAAGCCCAGCUUGCUGGGUGGAUUAGUGGCGAACGGGUGAGUAACACGUGAGUAACCUGCCCUUGACUCUGGGAUAAGCGCUGGAAACGGCGUCUAAUACCGGAUACGACCUGCCCCGGCAUCGGGUGUGGGUGGAAAGUUUUUCGGUCAAGGAUGGACUCGCGGCCUAUCAGCUUGUUGGUGAGGUAAUGGCUCACCAAGGCGACGACGGGUAGCCGGCCUGAGAGGGUGACCGGCCACACUGGGACUGAGACACGGCCCAGACUCCUACGGGAGGCAGCAGUGGGGAAUAUUGCACAAUGGGCGCAAGCCUGAUGCAGCAACGCCGCGUGGGGGAUGACGGCCUUCGGGUUGUAAACCUCUUUUAGUAGGGAAGAAGGACUUCGGUUUGACGGUACCUGCAGAAAAAGCACCGGCUAACUACGUGCCAGCAGCCGCGGUAAUACGUAGGGUGCAAGCGUUGUCCGGAAUUAUUGGGCGUAAAGAGCUCGUAGGCGGUUUGUCGCGUCUGCUGUGAAAACCCGAGGCUCAACCUCGGGCCUGCAGUGGGUACGGGCAGACUAGAGUGCGGUAGGGGAGAAUGGAAUUCCUGGUGUAGCGGUGGAAUGCGCAGAUAUCAGGAGGAACACCGAUGGCGAAGGCAGUUCUCUGGGCCGUAACUGACGCUGAGGAGCGAAAGCGUGGGGAGCGAACAGGAUUAGAUACCCUGGUAGUCCACGCCGUAAACGUUGGGCGCUAGAUGUGGGGACCUUUYCACGGUUUCCGUGUCGCAGCUAACGCAUUAAGCGCCCCGCCUGGGGGAGUACGGCCGCAAGGCUAAACUCAAAGGAAUUGACGGGGGSCCGCACAAGCGGCGGAGCAUGCGGAUUAAUUCGAUGCAACGCGARRARCCUUACCAAGGCUUGACAUAUACCGGAAACUUCCAGAAAUGGUUG